GAUGAACGCUGGCGGCGUGCCUAAUACAUGCAAGUCGAGCGAACAGACGAGGAGCUUGCUCCUCUAACGUUAGCGGCGGACGGGUGAGUAACACGUGGAUAACCUACCUAUAAGACUGGGAUAACUUCGGGAAACCGGAGCUAAUACCGGAUAAUAUAUUGAACCGCAUGGUUCAAUAGUGAAAGACGGUUUUGCUGUCACUUAUAGAUGGAUCCGCGCCGCAUUAGCUAGUUGGUAAGGUAACAGCUUACCAAGGCAACGAUGCGUAGCUGACCUGAGAGGGUGAUCGGCCACACUGGAACUGAGACACGGUCCAGACUCCUACGGGAGGCAGCAGUAGGGAAUCUUCCGCAAUGGGCGAAAGCCUGACGGAGCAACGCCGCGUGAGUGAUGAAGGUCUUCGGAUCGUAAAACUCUGUUAUUAGGGAAGAACAAAUGUGUAAGUAACUAUGCACGUCUUGACGGUACCUAAUCAGAAAGCCACGGCUAACUACGUG
rnacentral:rRNA from 1 species